rnacentral:rRNA from 1 species
GACGGAGGAUGCAAGCGUUAUCCGGAAUGAUUGGGCGUAAAGCGUCCGCAGGUGGCAGUUCAAGUCUGCUGUCAAAGACCGGGGCUUAACUUCGGAAAGGCAGUGGAAACUGAACAGCUAGAGUAUGGUAGGGGCAGAGGGAAUUCCUGGUGUAGCGGUGAAAUGCGUAGAGAUCAGGAAGAAGACCGGUGGCGAAGGCGCUCUUCUAGGCCGCAACUGACACUGAGGGACGAAAGCUAGGGGAGCGAACAGG